rnacentral:rRNA from 1 species
GACGAACGCUGGCGGCGUGCUUAACACAUGCAAGUCGAACGGAAAGGCCUCUUUCGGGGGGUACUCGAGUGGCGAACGGGUGAGUAACACGUGAGUAACCUGCCCUUGACUUUGGGAUAACUUCAGGAAACUGGGGCUAAUACCGGAUAGGAGCUCCUGCUGCAUGGUGGGGGUUGGAAAGUUUCGGCGGUUGGGGAUGGACUCGCGGCUUAUCAGCUUGUUGGUGGGGUAGUGGCUUACCAAGGCUUUGACGGGUAGCCGGCCUGAGAGGGUGACCGGCCACAUUGGGACUGAGAUACGGCCCAGACUCCUACGGGAGGCAGCGGUGGGGAAGAUUGCACAAUGGGUGGAAGCCUGAUGCAGCAACGCCGUGUGCGGGAUGACGGCCUUCGGGUUGGAAACCGCUUUCGCUCAUGACGAAGCUUUGUGUGACGGUAGUGGGUAAAGAAGCACCGGCUAACUACGUG